rnacentral:rRNA from 1 species
AACGCGAAGAACCUUACCAGCCCUUGACAUGGGCAGGACCGGUCCAGAGAUGGGCUUUUCCCGCAAGGGACCUGCCGCACAGGUGCUGCAUGGCUGUCGUCAGCUCGUGUCGUGAGAUGUUGGGUUAAGUCCCGCAACGAGCGCAACCCUCGCCUUUAGUUGCCAGCAUGUUUGGGUGGGCACUCUAGAGGAACUGCCGGUGACAAGCCGGAGGAAGGUGGGGAUGACGUCAAGUCCGUAUGGCCCUUACGGCCAGGGCUGCACACGUACUACAAUGCUCACUACAGAGGGACGCAAGACCGCAAGGUGGAGCCAAUCCCUCAAAGCUGAUCCCAGUUCGGAUUGGAGGCUGCAACUCGCCUCCAUGAAACUCGGAAUCGCUAGUAAUGGCGCAUCAGCUACGUCGCCGUGAAUACGUUCCCGGGUCUUUACACACCG